AUAACUAUUUUAGGAACAAUUUGGUAAAGGUUCUUCGCGUUCUCAGUUUUUCAAUGUUCAACAUUUUCAAUUUUGUCCACAUGAUGAACAGAAUGUAACUGUGUGCUUUCUGCAGAUGUACUUCUUGCAUUUCUCACAAAAGGAGCUUGUUUUAAAACAGGAAUCUUCCUAACUUAUAUUUAAAACUAAAGAUUUCUACGUCUCCUCCAGACUCAAAAGCAGAUGACAAACCAAUUGACACACCUGAGUCACUAACUUUCUUCAAUCCACUCACUCUCACUGGCUCUGUUUAUUACUAAUCACUGUGUAACUGCUGUAAAUUCACAGUAACUGCCAUCUCCUUACAAAUGUUUAUUAGAUUAACCACACUUAUACAGACUGUAUAUAACUACCAACUCUCCAGCCAUGUUGAUGGAUUGCCUAUAUUGGCUGGAAAUAUUCAUUUCCAGAGAAAAGACACAGGCAGAAGAUGCUUACAGGAUGUGAUGUGAUAGCACCAUUGAACUAUUGAUGUGUCAUAUUUGUCCAAGGCGUAUUUCAUUGUUAUGGAAAAAGAGAAUAUUAAAAUCAUGAUGACCAAUUGGAGUGGUGAUUCAAACGUAGUGCAGAUGUGUGUCACAAGUUGAUCUGGCUGUAGGCUGUGGCACUUGGCCAGAGGUGGCGCUGGUUGACUCGAGUCCAUGUUAGUGCACACAAAGUAAACUGCACGCUUUAGUUGUGAAGCAAAAACGCUGAAACCGGAGAAAUAAAACGUGCGAGGGGGACGAUAACGACGACAAGAGUCUCCCGAUCGUUUACUCUUCCUGUCCUGUGAACAACACCGGCGUGGUAUUAAUUGUGUGCUGUUUUCGCGAUCGCGUCGCGCAUGAGGAUAUCACCAGUCAGUGUUACACAGGGUCUGAGUGAAAAAGUGUUCAGCUGCUGUGACUUGAAGGCCUACAAUCCGGUCAACGUUAUAUGCUGCCAGUCAACCAUAAUAGCGACACCUGGACCAAAGGCUGAAUGUUGUGGUAAAGCUCAAUCAUGUGGAACUAAUACUUUCAACAAAGAAACACAUCUAUGCUGUCAGUUAACUGUUAUUGCCAAACCUUCACCAAAGCACAGAUAUUGUGAAAAGGGACCACAUGAUGAGUAAAAGAAGCUGUGUUGUGGUCCGAUGAAUGAUAAGAAGAUCCUGAAGAGGAACUCCACAGAUCAUGUGUGCUGUCAUCAUGGCCAGCAGCUAGGCUGACUGCUGCUGUUGGAAGAAUGAUGGUGCUGAGAUACAGCUGAAGAAUUCAUCUUGCUGUGUAGAAGAAUCAGCUGUACUUGAAGGUCAGAAGUGGCCAAAUCCAGUUUCAUACACAUCUUAGAAAUUUAUUUAAAAGUAAACUCUGGGUAUACACUGCUUUGAAUGAGAAGCCACCAUUAAUAAAAGAAUGACUGCUGUGGCACCGGGCAUCACCGGCCCCACUCCUGCUAAACAGGUGACAAUAGAUUUAAAAGCGACAGGACUUAGUACUGUUGAAUCUUUGAUUUGAUUUAUUUUUUGCUUUGUUUUACUUGCAUCAAUUUGAAAGAGUCCAUGUAAACGCAAAACAUUAUUUUAUUUUACAUGCUGGAAUAUGCAGAAAAUAGGUUUAAAUGUUAAACAAUUUCUUCAAGUCAAAGACAGUUGCAUAUAAAUUAAUUUUUGCUUAAUGCAAUGUGCAUAAAAUUAAAAGAUUGAAACUAAUAAAACAAAUUUUAAAGGAGACUUUCCAUUUGAUUCAAUUUUAUAUGAUGGAUUAUGCAUAAAAAUAGAAUUUGGCUGAAAGGUCUAUUGCUUUACUACGUAUUCGGGUUGUGUAUCAUGUUUUAAAAAUGUAACUAAGUAACUAAUUACUUUUGACAAUAAGCAAUCAGUAAAGUAACAGGAUUACUUUUUUGGAGAAGUAAUCAGUAAUUAGUAACUAAUUACUUUUUUCAAUUAACUUGACCAACACUGCUGCACAGAGUGUGAAAAUCUUCUGUUGAAAAGAACAUGACACCAAAAAUGAAACAGUAGGAAGAGGUUUUAUUGCUGCUUGUGCUGUGUGACUCAUUUUGGCUGUAAGUUCCAAGUUAACGAAUUUAACUAACUAAUUUAUUAAGCAUAUCUGCAGGCUUUUAUCGAAUAAUAUAACAAAAAUGGAGAACUGUCUCAUUCAUUUAGCAUGACUGAACUUUCAAAUGUAUUUAUUACAAAACCUGCAAAGCAUUAGCCAGUGCACUGGUCUCAAUGACACAAUUUUGUUGAAUUCCUUCAGAGUGGGAAAACAAUUCUUAUCAGUAAAUUGCAAAGGAUGGGAAAAUAUGCAGGCUCUCACUGGUCGAUAUCACACAGGAUAUGGUGUUUUGGCAAAGGAAUUUUUGCAGCUUCACCCUAGCUGAUGUGGGUGAGUCAUGUUUUCUAGACAUAAUUCAUCCUCAUAUGUUUAAACUAAUAAAUGUCUUGUUGUAACUCCUCUUUCUGCUCUCCCAACCCUCACACCUCUACUUAUAGGUCAAAGCAAGUCAAAACCCAUAGUGCAUAACCCACAUACAUAUGUGUGCUGUGAUGGAUGUCUAAGUGGAAACCUUUGAUCAAUCAAGUAAUGUACUCAGUACUUUCUUUGUUUGUUUUUCCAGGCAUGACAAUCCAAGGGAGGAAGAGGAUAUAAGAGGAACAGAGACACCGGAGGGCCGUGCAGGCAGGAAUAGGAAAGGAAUCCGUGGGAGAGAACAACCGUUCCGCUUUUCCCUGGCUGCUCCACCACCGGCUGCUCUUCAUCUCCACACGUCCUGGCUCCUGGCGUCCUGGUUGUUCUCUCCCACGGAUUCCUUUCCUAUUCCUGCCUGUACGGCCCUCCGGUGUCUCCGUUCCUCCCCUUAAGGCCUUCUCCAAAGGCCUUAAGGGGGAUAUCGUCUUCUUCCCUUGGCGAAAGUACUUUCACCGCGGCUCCUGCAUGUGGAUAACUCCGACCAUCCUCUUACCAAAGACCUUUUAUCCUGCCUUGAUAGCUUUAAUUUUAAACAACACAUAAACUUCCCUACUCACACCAAGGGCCAUACUUGGACCUAGUCUGCUGCUCCAGAGUUAAUCUUUCAAACUGCACAGCCGACGAGCUACCAACCUCUGAUCAUCUGC
rnacentral:lncRNA from 1 species